AUGGAGAACGAUCAAUCUAAUUCGAUUCUGGCCGUUGACCCUGCGUGUGUACCUGCGCGAAGCGGAGUGGCGAGUGUUCGUACCGACCACCUAGACAGGCUAGAGUCCACAUUGUACCCGGCCAGUGCAUCCAGUGAACUUUUGCCAGAGAACAGAACUAAUACUAGUUUCGAACCACCUGGUACUCUACCAGCGAAUGCGGAAAAUAUUUCACCAGCUGCGAAGGAUCUAUUGAAACGACUGCUACAACCGGAUCCUUGCUUGAGGUUGAGGUCUCUGUUAAGUCUGCAGAGGAUUGCUUUCUACAUGGGUUACAAUUUGCACAGUUAUAUGCAAAAGAAGGAAUCUCCGUUCCGUCUGCUAGGACGAAAAGUCGAAAUUGAGCAGGAAAGAAGGAUCAAAGAAUUUUCCACGUUCAAUUCCUCUUUGGCAGACAGUAUAUCUCGUGGCGAAGAUCGAUAAUCUCGUCAAUGUGAUUGUUAUUAGCAACAUUGUGUUUAGUCACUUAGCUAAUGCCAUAUUGAUUUUGGACAAAAAGAUGUUCCCUAGUUAUUUUUUUAUUUUAUUUUUUUUUUUAUUACGUUAGCUUGUUGCUCGUCGUAGACUUAUUAUAUAGAGCAACGUCGUCGAUGCCAUCCAUUACUUUUUAAGCGAAUCAAUUUAACAUGGAUUUUUAAACUCUAUUUUAUAUAACUCGUUGUAAAAUAUGAAUCUCUUUAUCCUCUGGUGCUAUUUUUUGAUGAAAAUUGUCGCGAAGAAUUCAGAGGUUUUUUUUAUCGUAUAUUUUUAAGAAUAAAUUGCGAAGCUUUUGUACCGUGAAAGAAAAAUGUUUAAUACGUCAAUGUGCGAUUGUAGCUUCUGUGUGCAGUUGUUGUACUGCUUUAUAUCCCAUUGAUGGUGAUAACGCAUCGUGUGAAAAUAAAAAUAAACAUAUGAAAGUAAAAUGUAUCCAAUUAUGAUAUAAAAAUGAAAUGUCUUUAUGAAUGUGCAAUUUCUCGAGUUUUUAUCUUUUAUAUCCCUACCUUUUACACCAGAAAGCUGCUCGACAACUUAAUGAAUCCUUGUUGGAAUUAUGUUUCAGGAGUAUAUCGUGAGAAAUUCGCGGUUGGUCUCAGUUUACAAAAGUUUUAAUUUUUUUAAGAAUAGUUAACAGUAUUUUUGUUACAGUAUUUCAUCGAUAAUACAAUAAAUUGCGAUAAAUCGUAGUGCGUACAAACUAACAACAAAAAACAAAACGAAUCUGGAUCGAAAAACGCAGCGUCUUUUUCUUUUUUUCUCAUCUUCUUCAUCUUAUUCGUUUCUUCAUUUUGAAAUCAAUCAUUUUGAGAACAGUUUCUUUUUCUUUUUCUUUUUUUUUUUUUAAAUCUUUCUUUUUGAAGAUUUGUUGCUUCGUCUUCGUUCAUUUUCGUGCGUUUCAAUUUUUCAAUUUUUUCGCUUUUUGUUCCUUCUUCAUAGACGUUGGGGGCGGGAGACAGUUCCUUUUCCCCGGAGUGCAAUCAAUCGAAGUUUUUAUGGUAUAAUAAUAAUUAUAUAUACAUUAUUAUUCUUACACUUAGAGGGUUUCUCGAUAUAUAAUACAACGCAUUCCUUCAUAUUACGUCCCGAAUGACGCGUCGGCAAGCGAUCACUGGUCGAAUGUUUCUUUCUCACGCUUGAAUAAAACACAAAUA
rnacentral:lncRNA from 1 species